GCCUGACACAUGGUCGAUGCUUCAUAAAUACUGACUGAUUUGCUAUGUUCUAGGCACUGACCUCUGAGCUUUACAAACAUUAUCUCAUGUGGAAACCCAUUUGCAAAUUUAUGUAAAUGUUACCCAUUCUAUUUUUCAUUCAGACUUAUGAUUUUACUGGUCUAGGGAAAUUCGACCACGGAUACCCAUUAGCAUUGAUGCCAGUUACUGACCUUUAACAGACCUGCACUCUUCUCAAAGGAAGAUUCCAAAUGGAGAAAGAACAGCAAAUGAAACACCUUUGUUUAGAGGAAAAUGAUUAAUAUACUUGCUUUAAAAUCAAGGAAGAGAAAGAAGUUAAUCCCUUCUGAGACACAU
rnacentral:lncRNA from 1 species